UUGGCAGUGUUAGGUUAACGGUUGGACUUGAUGAUCUUAAGGGUCUUUUCCAACCUAAAAGAUUCAAUGACUCUAAAUUACUCACUCUGUAAUGAACUAACGUAAUUAACUGCACUCGACAGCUGAGCUGGUUCCAGCCCCAAGCUGCUCCCGGAGAGCGGCACCGCUCACUUCAUGCAUGCUCUAAAGCGGCUCCGGACACUGUGCGUAACAGCGCCCAAGUAACGCUGCAUUCACAAGGAAUUCCACUCAGGCACCCAAGAGGAAAAAGUUCCUGAAGAGCUUUUGGAUGGGGGAGGAAAGAUGCAGAUGGCCUUUUUUCCUUCUUUGCUCUGGACUCACAACAGCAGAGAGAUCAACUGGGCCCUAAGGCAUUGCAAAGAAAGUUUACUCUCCUAUUUACCUCCUAAGCCUUCUUGCAGCCUGCCUUAGGAAAAGCCAUAAGCUGGCUCAUCCUUCUCACAGAAAGCGAUGUUUGGGACCACAGCUGUUAGGAGCCACCCUUGCCUCCGCACAUCUCAAUGAGCAGGUCAAAGUGAAGGACGUGGACAGACUGGCUAUAGGUUAGCUGUUCCCAGUAUGGAGGAAGAGAAGAAAGGUGUCCUUAAGAACAUGUACCUUAAAUACCUUCUCACAGGCAGAAAUGUAAUGCAGCCAUUUAAAAAAACCCAAAUAAACAACAAAAUAAAGCAAAAAAACUCCUA